UCCCCCCCCCCCCCCCCCCCCACCAAACUAUGUACACUUGUAUGGUUAGCAAAAAUUUCUAGAGUUUGGAGUUUUAUAUCUGUUCUAAUUCUAUUAUUAGACCUAAUAAUCACAUUUUAAAACAAAAUUUUGCAUACAAUAUCUUAUUUGAUCCUCUCAAAGCUUGAUUUAUCCCUAUUGUCAGAGAAGGAAAACCCAAGCUCCAGCACAUGGUAGAAAAGAGAACUAAACCUAGGUUUUCUGACUCUAAAUCCCAUGUUUGCCUAAAUACAUCAGAGGAAUCAUGACUUUCUUUCCAUCUUGUAUGGUUACAAGUUUGAGUUUGAAUCCUCAGCUCACAUAGAAGACAAAUUUCUCAUUCUGACCCAAAAUGUCUUCCACCUAACCUUAAUGAUUUACCUUCUGCCCAAGAACCUUUCAUUAUGGCAGGUGGUGUGUUAGUACUUGUUCUACCCAUGGUCUCGACCAUAGCAGAUCUGAGAUGAGCAAGGAGACAAAGCAAGACAGAGGAUAUGGGGCCUGAGGCCAAGACAUCCUGCUGGACUUUGCAACAUCACAGGCCAUCUGAAAAGGGUGAGAGAAGACAAAACAAACAAUGCCGCUGGCUUUAUUUUUGAUGUUUGGUCUCGGUGAGUGUCACAUCAGGGUGGGAUGUUUACUUGGAUGACCUAUUAGGUCUCUUUCCUCCCCAAACAACUGCCCCCUAGAGUCAGUGACAUGAAUAAUCCAAUCGGCAGUUCAGGGGCCUGGGGCACCAUUCGGUUCAUCCAUUGUCCCCCUGGGAUGGUGUUUGUUAUUCAUCUGGCUGCAGAAGGAAGUUGAAGGGUGUGAACUGAUCUAGCUAGGGAAGGAGGCUAUGAUUUGGGAAGGCCCAAGGCAAAAAUCAGAUUGAUAGCAAUGAAUUCAUAUAAAAUAACUCCUUUUGUCUGGAUAAAAAGCAAUGUGUGUGUGUCUAUAUAUAUCUAUAUAUCUAUAUAACUAUCUAUCUCUCUAUAUAUAAACACACAUACAUACUGUUAACAUCGAUGGUUCAUUCAAAGAACAGAAAUAAAAAAUUAAACACACCAAAAUCCCUUCUUGUUUUUAUGAUUUUUAAAAUUCUGUGGUUUUCCUAAAGAAUGAAAAUACGACAGAGAAAGUCACCUAUUAUUUUAAAAUAAAGAUAUCCUUUAAUUAAAAUAUUUAACCACAUGAGCUAUUACUUCACACCCAUUAGGAUGGCUAUUAUAUAAAAAAAAAAAACCACCAGAAAAUAACAAAUGUUGGCAAGAAAUGUGGAGAAAUUGAGCUCUUGUGCAUUGCUGGUGACAAUAUAAAAUGGUGAAGCCACUGUGGAAAACACCAUGCUGAUUCUUCAAUCCAGCAAUUCCACUCAAAUAAGUGAAAAUGGGGACUUGCACAGAUAUUUGUACACCCAUGUUCAUAGCAGCGUUGUUCACAGAAGUCAAAAGGGGGAAGCCAUCCAGGUGUCAACGGUGGAGGAAUGGAUGAAGAAAGAGUGUUAUAUGCACACAAUGGAAUGUUAUUCAGUCUGAAAAAGGAAGAAACUCUUUAGUGCUACAACAUGGAUGAGCCUUGAGGACAUUACGUUAAGUGAAAUAAGCUAAUCAUAAAAAGAAAAAUAUUGUAAGACUCUACUUAUCUGAGUUUUAGUAAUUGGAAGAGGAAAAUGAACGUGACUCGAAAUGGAGGAGAAAAUGAUCUUUCAACAAGAUCAAGCUUUUUGAAGACAUUCUACUGUCCGGAUGAAAUUUUGUUUGAUUGAGAAUAUUUUUUCAAAACUUUUAAGACGUUUUAAAUGACGUACAUAUAAAUGUGGCAAAAAUGUCACAAAGGACCAAUGUCAGAUCUCUAAUGUAAAUAAAAACAAUAAAAAAUUACUUGAAUGGUAUAAGCACA